rnacentral:lncRNA from 1 species
GUCCAUUCUCCUUACCUCUAUUUCUCCUCUCUCACAGCGGCUAUUAAUCCUAAUCCACUCAACCUCUUCAUUUUUCCUUUCUUUGGUAUGUAUCUUAGAUGUCUUGUGAAAUUGAAAAGAAGAUGGGUGAUGUUGAAGGUAUUUUCUUGUUUAAUUUGCAAUUUAUCGAUUUCUUUUUUAAUUGAAAAUCUUGCUCUGUGGUUCCAUGCUUUUUCAUCUCCAUUUAAAUGGAGCCUUUAGUCUCAAUGGUAGCUGGUAGUUGUCCUUGCAGACAUAUGCAGGUGAUUUUCAGUAUGUUGAAGGCUACUAAAGGUUUGGACGAGGAUACAAUUCCUGUUGAUUUUGGCCUGUGUGAGGUUAAUUGAUUUCUCAUAUUCGUUAUCAGUAUAAAUUUGUGUAAUUUACUAAUCGAUUUCUUUUUUAAUUGAAAAUCUGGCUCUUGAGUUCCCUACUUUUUCAUCUCCAUUAAAAUUGUGUCUUUAGUCUCAAUGGUAGCAGGUUGUUGCCUCUACAGACGGAUGCUGAUGAUUGCCUCCAUUUCAUUUAGACAAGGUCGUUUAAGUUUGAAGUCGAUUCAGGUACAAUCACCCCAAGAAAAGGGCUGAGGUAUUAUUGUAUUUUUAGCAAUGGCCUUGUUAGUUUUUUAUUCUAAUUUUUGUUGGAAAUUUACUUAAUCAUGCACGGCAG